UAACGAAUCUUCCGCAAUGGGCGCAAGCCUGACGGAGCAAUGCCGCGUGCGGGAUGAAGUACCUCUGGUAUGUAAACCGCUGUCGGAGGGUAGAACCAAUGAUCACCCCCAAAGGAAGUGGCGACUAACUCUGUGCCAGCAGUCGCGGUAAUACAGAGGCCACAAGCGUUAGUCGGAAUCACUGGGCUUAAAGGGUGCGUAGGCUGGCUCGUAAGUGUUCUGUGAAAGCCCCCGGCUCAACCGGGGAACAGCAGGGCAUACUGCGGGUCUUGAGGCAGGUAGGGGUCGCGAGAACAGUAGGUGGAGCGGUGAAAUGCGUAGAUAUCUACUGGAAUGCCGAUGGUGAAGACGCGCGACUGGGCCUGUCCUGACGCUGAGGCACGAAAGCGUGGGGAGCAAACAGGAUUAGAUACCCUUGUAGUCCCUGAGCGGGCUGGCAAGGCGCAU
rnacentral:rRNA from 1 species